GUAGUCGUGGCCACUCGAGCGGUUAAGGCGAUGGACUAGAAAUCCACUGGGGUUUCCCCACGCAGGUUCGAAUCCUGCCGACUACG